ACGAACGCUGGCGGCAUGCCUAACACAUGCAAGUCGAACGAGACCUUCGGGUCUAGUGGCGCACGGGUGCGUAACGCGUGGGAACCUGCCCUUAGGUUCGGAAUAACUCCCCGAAAGGGGUGCUAAUACCGGAUAAUGUCUUCGGACCAAAGAUUUAUCGCCUUUGGAUGGGCCCGCGUUGGAUUAGCUAGUUGGUAGGGUAAAAGCCUACCAAGGCGACGAUCCAUAGCUGGUCUGAGAGGAUGAUCAGCCACACUGGGACUGAGACACGGCCCAGACUCCUACGGGAGGCAGCAGUGGGGAAUAUUGGACAAUGGGCGAAAGCCCGAUCCAGCAAUGCCGCGUGAGUGAUGAAGGCCUUAGGGUUGUAAAGCUCUUUUACCCGGGAUGAUAAUGACAGUACCGGGAGAAUAAGCUCCGGCUAACUCCGUG
rnacentral:rRNA from 1 species